UGGGGAAUAUUGCACAAUGGAGGAAACUCUGAUGCAGCAACGCCGCGUGAAGGAUGAAGGUUUUCGGAUCGUAAACUUCUAUCAGUAGGGACGAAAAACAUGACGGUACCUAACUAAGAAGCCCCGGCUAACUACGUGCCAGCAGCCGCGGUAAUACGUAGGGGGCAAGCGUUAUCCGGAAUCACUGGGUGUAAAGGGUGCGUAGGCGGCAGUAUAAGUCAGAUGUGAAAUCCCGGGGCUCAACCCCGGGCGGGCAUUUGAAACUGUACAGCUAGAGUGCAGGAGAGGAAAGUGGAAUUCCUAGUGUAGCGGUGAAAUGCGUAGAUAUUAGGAGGAACACCAGUGGCGAAGGCGACUUUCUGGACUGUAACUGACGCUGAAGCACGAAAGCGUGGGUAGCGAACA
rnacentral:rRNA from 1 species